rfam:Gorilla gorilla gorilla genomic chromosome, chr2A, whole genome shotgun sequence
GCCGGGCGUGGUGGUGCACGCCUGUAAUCCCAGCUACUCAGGAGGCUGAGGCGGGAUAAUCGCUUGAACCCGGGAGGUGGGGGUUGCAGGGAGCCGAAAUUGUGCCACUGCACUCCAGCCUGGGCCACAGAGGGAGACCCUGUCUCAA